GUUUGAGUUCUAGGAAUGUUUCUUGCACUAAUCGUCACCAGAUUUCUUGUGUAAGCUCAAAAUUGAGCUAGAGAUAAGAAACUAAGGAUGCAUACGCCGUCGUGAUUGCAUCCUUUAUACUUUAAGGAUGCAUACAUCGUCGUUUGAAGUUUUAAAACCAUACAAAGCUUCAUGAAUAAUAUUUUUAUGGGAGUUCAAAAUAAAUAAAAUUCAUAAUCAUUAAUGUAAAAGUUUGAAAAAUGUGAAAGCAUAUAUGCUUGUGAUUG
rnacentral:lncRNA from 1 species